UACGUAGGGUGCGAGCGUUAAUCGGAAUUACUGGGCGUAAAGCGUGCGCAGGCGGUUUUGUAAGACAGAUGUGAAAUCCCCGGGCUUAACCUGGGAAUGGCAUUUGGGACUGCAAGGCUCGAGUGCGGCAGAGGAAACUGGAAUUCCUGGUGUAGCAGUGAAAUGCGUAGAUAUCAGGAGGAACACCGAUGGCGAAGGCAGGUCUCUGGGCUGACACUGACGCUCAUGCACGAAAGCGUGGGGAGCAAACAGG
rnacentral:rRNA from 1 species